rnacentral:lncRNA from 1 species
GGGAAAUAUUUUAAUAGACUUUUCAAAUGUGUUUAUUUUUCUUAGACAACACACCAAAACUGGACAGGUGGUAAUUUGGUUUUGUUUUGCUUUGUUUUGCAGUUCUGGGGUCGAGCCCAUGGCCUUGUGCCUGCUAAGCAAGCAUUCUACCUGUGAGGCAUGGUGGCAGACAACUGUAACCCCAGAGACCCAGGAGGCUAAGGCAGGAGGAUUGCAAGUUCAAUCCCUGGCACACAUAGACACACACACAUGGGGCAUGAAUAAUAGUAUACUGGGUUGGAGAAGUUCAAAAACCUGCUUCUGAAACAAUCCUCCCAUCCGAGCUUCAAGUCCCAAGUUACUUUAUCUGAAAAUGAGAAAGGGACUAGUUUCCACAUCCACCUCAGAAAGUUAGGGUGAGUUCAGGUGACCCAAUGAGGCACUGGAAGAUUCUUCAUACAUUAUAAAUGUGUUGCCUACUCCUGUCAGGCUUAGCUGCCCUCACUAGCAGGUUACCUCUGCAGGCUCCUCACAUGCAAGUCACUUCCCCCUCACUUUCCACAAAAAUCUC